UACAGGAUUUGGAGGAAUCAGUCUAGAUCUGACCUGGAAGUCUCCUCCCUGAUGACCAGCUCUCACAGCAUCAGAAGAGGCCAUGCUGGCCUCCGGGGAGAAAGGCAUCUAUAGUCCUGUCCAGUUGUGAUGUCACAAACCACACCAACGGCCAGCGCAGCAAGAUAUUCCGAGAGACGCAACAGUAACCGAUCGCCCCUUAUUAGGACUUAACACCCACUGAUUAGUAGGAAGGAAUUCACGCCUGGCCCUGGCAAUUUAGGCAAACACUGCGGCUGUACAAAAAGGAGGAAGCGAGUUGAGCACAAACAUUUGUCUCUGUCUGCUUCUUGUCUGUGGGUACCACGUGAUCAUGCCUCAUGCUCCUGCUGCUGUGUCUCCACACGUGAUCAUACCUCAUGCUCCUGCUGCGGUGUCUCCACCAUAAAGGACUGUCACCUCAAAACUGUGAGAGCUGAUGCAAUAUUUAGAGGCUGCUGCGUCUGCCAGGUAAUGACCUGGGGGAGAGCAGUUUGCUACGUGUGCUGUGGCCUCGACCCUCCCCAUUAACCAACCACUCUGCAGAGGAACCAGGCUGAACCUGGAACUCCACACUGCGGUCUCCGCCAAGGUGCAGCUUGGACCAAGGUUAUAUGUCGCAGGGCCAGCUUCUCUUGUUUGUUUGACCGUGGAUAUGGGAGUCUGAUUUAGACUCUCCCGAUUAUCUGGACGUCAUCACUCUGGAUACAGAAAUUAAUAAUCAGCUUUAUGCAUCUGGCUUUGGGGCUGCCUUUGGGGUGCAGCCUCCGCUAAGGGGCUUACAGGCUCAUCCCCAGGUUCAAAACUGCCUUCAAAUCUGGGUUGACUUGUGAACUUUUGGACAAGAACCAAUCAGACCUCUUUUUAAAUUUUGAAAUUCAGAUUUAUGACCCAAAAGAUGCAAAUUAACCUAUUUUCUUGAACCUUGAUUUCUGUCCAACAGCUACCUAAUGUUCCCAGUUCCUGAUGAGAGGAAGCUCAGCCAGUCCGCAUGACCCUCACUUGAAAUGCACAUUGGGUAAUCUUGACAAAGUCACCUCCGAUUGGGAGGCUCUGCUGUUUCAAUUGUCAGCAUGGUGUAAGUGAAUUACUAAAAUACUGCCCAAGUUGGUUAUCUGGGGAUGACUUUUGUAAAUAGAUAAUAAGAAGAGACUUCUUACCUAUCAGCAGGGCCUCCUUCUCAGAUUUUAAGCCUUGGCUUCUCUUUUCAGUAUUGUUCUCUCGGUCUUGGUUAACCAACGCAACUGUCAACACAUUGAUUUCCUAUAAAGUAGAAACACAAAAGCCACGUAGGUGUUUAUGCAGAUCCCAUGUGUUUUAAUAAUAAUAAAAAAAACACCGUUUCUUAAACUCUAUGAAACAGACCAUCACUUCCUCUUAGAAGUGCAGAUAAAAUCUUUUAAUUAUUUGUUCAAUAGGUUCCAAACUGCUCCCACGCAACCAAGAUAGUCUCUCAGAGUAGUGAAUUUGGCAUUAAACUAUCUUAGA